UUACAUCUAUGCAUCACCUCCUCCACCUCACUACUAGACAGUUUAGCUGAGCAACCAUGUUGUAUUUGAGGAAUAUGUUGAAAUAAAGAAAGUGAUGGAUAUGUAGCAUAAAGAAGCACUUCGCAACAACACAAGAAGAAGCCGGCAACAAAGUUUCCGCGUUUUGUCCUUUAAAUUAAAAAGAAGUGUCACAUAACUUUCUAUAUAAGUAUAGAUUUCAAUUUCCUUUGUUUGUUUUGUUCAUGAUUAAGAUUGUGUAUUUGUAUUUCAAACAGUUGUGAGGCACUACGUUGCUCUAUUGUCAUUGAUUAAUACAUGCAUUAUGCUUCACAACCUAAUGCGUUUGGAAAGGGUUGGAAAGCCAUUCAUAUAAUAAAUAAAUAUUAAUAUUUUGUCUCUCA